rnacentral:tRNA from 1 species
GCUGGUGUGGCUCAGUGGCAGAGCAUCAGCCUGCGCACUGAAGGGUCUUGGGUUAGAUUCCCAGUCAAGGGCA